CCUGAACUGAUAAAACAAUUCAUAAUGGAGGUGAUCAAUGAUUCUGUACAGUUACAAGUUUUCAACAGGGAACCCAAUAACUGGUUUUGUUUCUGAUGCCAAUGAUCGAAGCUCUGCAAUCUCCUCUUCUGUGAGUCGCCACCCAAGAGCACCUGCGAAUUCU